GACGAACGCUGGCGGCGUGCUUAACACAUGCAAGUCGAACGGACAGACAGAGAGCUUGCUCUCUUGAAGUUAGUGGCGAACGGGUGAGCAACGCGUAAUCAACCUGCCCUUCAGAGGGGGAUAACAACGGGAAACCGUUGCUAAUACCGCGUACGAUUCAUGAACGGCAUCGUUUAUGAAUGAAAGGUGGCCUCUAUGUAUAAGCUAUCGCUGAAGGAGGGGAUUGCGUCUGAUUAGCUAGUUGGAGGGGCAACGGCCCACCAAGGCAAUGAUGAGUAGCCGGUCGGAGAGGAUGAACGGCCACAUUGGGACUGAGACACGGCCCAAACUCCUACGGGAGGCAGCAGUGGGGAAUCUUCCGCAAUGGACGAAAGUCUGACGGAGCAACGCCGCGUGAGUGAUGAAGGUCUUCGGAUUGUAAAGCUCUGUUAAUCGGGACGAAAGAGUUCUGCGUGAAUAAUGCAGAAAAGUGACGGUACCGGAAUAGAAAGCCACGGCUAACUACGUGCCAGCCGCCGCCGUAA
rnacentral:rRNA from 1 species